CUAUUUUUGCUCUACAAAAGUUGUCGUGCAAUCUAACCAGUUUUAAGAAGCUUAACUCAUAUAAUACCUAUGUCCAACUUGAGGGAUAGUGUUAAAGAUAUGGCUUGAAAGGAAGAAGCAUAUUGAAGUUGAUUGUUGUUUUGACAGAGAAAGUCAUAUUCAGGAAAUAUCUAUUAGCUUUGUCACUAUUCACUUUGUCAUCUUUGACAACCAACCAAGUAGCUAACACAAGUCUCUUUAUGGGUCUUGUAUGAAAUUUGUAACAAGAUUUUCUUAUAUGAUACAUAUAUGAGUUGAUUAUGUUAGAGAUAUGAUUUGAUUAUAUUAAAUAUGGACGUAUGAUAUGAUUAUAUUAAAUAUGGAGAUAUGAUUAGAGAGGGAAAUAUCUUAACAAAUAUUUCUCAAUAUUAGAUAUUGACUUUGGUCCUUAUUAUUGUAUAUCUUCUUUGUUAUAAAUAAGAAUACUCAUCUGCACACCUAACACAUGAAAUUCAUUAUAUUCCUUCUCCGUUUCUCUCUUCUCAACGUGGUACCUAACCUGAGUUGUACCAUCCUUUAUGACCCUUUUUGUCACUAUAAAUGUCAACACUCAUGAACAACAACCACUUCCACAAGGAUGAAGGCUUCUCUGAAUCUCAAAACCCUUCUUAGCCUUAGCAAUCCACCCAAUAGGGUCACUUCCAUAAGGGUUUGGAAGUUCAACAUUCUAAAGAGCCUUUUAAAACUCCAUUGACACCUCAUCUUCAAAUUUUGAAGAAUGAACAUCAAAAUGUUCCAUGGUUUACUUUGAUGGAGUAUUUCUAACAUGGGCAAAACUUCCUAGAAAGUAUCCUCCAUUGUCUAUCUCCUUCUGCUUAACCAAAUAUUCAACAACGGUAUAAUGGUAUCCAACCGAUCAAGUUUUUCUCUCAUUUCCCCAAAAUCUUUGUGAAUGUCUUGUGUAGCAUUCCCCAUUUUUUGUUUCUUCUCAUUAUGAGAAUUGGAUCUCGGACCAAUGUAUUACACUCAAAGAAAUUGCAUACACAAAAUAGGAUAAUUUUAUAGAUAACAAUACUAGGUAGAAUCAUAAUUGCACCUAGCCCUAACAAAGAGUCUUCCUCCCUCAAACAUAAUUUUGUUUUUGUAGUUUUUAACAAAACUUUAAAACGGAAAAGAGUGUGUCAUACUAGCACUCAUCUUCCCUCCAAGCACCCUCCACGAAAAGUUAGCACUCAUCACAGUCAAUCAUUGUAUGAAAUAUCUCCAUUCCAAAGAUUUACCAGUAACUUAAGUGUUCAAUUCCAAUAUCUUAUGCGCACGACAACAUAGAGAUUCAUUCUAGUUCCUCGUCAAAUUCAACAAAAACAUCCCUCCCCUACACUAACAGCACAAUGCCAAAGUCCAAUUUUCUUUUCAAGAAAAGGAAAAACAAAAUAAAAAACAGAUAGGCAAUUGAACCGUAAAGCAAU
rnacentral:lncRNA from 1 species